GCGCACCAGUCGAGAAUUUUCUCAAUGGGGCAACCCUGAAGGAGCGACGCCGCGUGGAGGAUGAAGGCUUUCGGGUUGUAAACUCCUGUCAUUUGAGAACAAGUGUAGCCACUUAACUACUGGCUACUUGAUAGUAUCAGAAGAGGAAGGGACGGCUAACUCUGUGCCAGCAGCCGCGGUAAUACAGAGGUCCCAAGCGUUGUUCGGAUUCAUUGGGCGUAAAGGGUGCGUAGGUGGCGCCGUAAGUGGGGUGUGAAAUUUCGGAGCUUAACUCCGAAACUGCAUUCCAUACUGCGGUGCUUGAGGACUGGAGAGGAGACUGGAAUUCAUGGUGUAGCAGUGAAAUGCGUAGAGAUCAUGAGGAAGACCAGUGGCGAAGGCGGGUCUCUGGACAGUUCCUGACACUGAGGCACGAAGGCUAGGGGAGCGAACGGGAUUAGAUACCCGCGUAGUCCCUGAA
rnacentral:rRNA from 1 species